AGUGCGCCACGCUCCCCGGCCGCGGUCCGAGCGAGGGAGCGAGCGGGCGCGGUCGCUGCGGGUCCCCGGGAGACCCGAGCCCGUUUCGCAGGGUCCGCGGGGGCUGAGGCCUGGAGGAGGUCAGCGCUGGGCUGAAGUCGCCCCCCGAGCACCACGAUCCCGGACGCCCGACACCCCCUUGCGGAACGGGUAGCGGUUCCGGAUUGGGAUCCGUGGGGCGCAGGCACCCUGCUCGCCCGCGCGUCUGCGCCUUCUGCCUCAGUUUCCCGGGGCGCCCUACGCAGCGCGGAGCCAGCCCCAGGUUUUUUUCCAGUUGGAGCGGAAGCCCACCUGCCCGUCCCCGUGCGCUGUCGCUGCCCUCGCCAUCGUCCCUGUGUUUUUGUUUUGUUUUUUUUUAACUUUUUCCAGACAAGUUCUCAAGUAGCCCAGGGUGGCUUCCUGACUCGCCCGAGUAGCCGAGGAUAACCCUAAACUUCUGAUCCCACCUCUACCUUCUGAGUCCGGUUUUAAUGUGGUGCUGGGACUCGAACCCAGGGCUUCUUCGCAGAUGCCAAGCAGGCCGAGCUCCACCCCCAGCCUCCUCACCACUGCUUCCUUCUGCCCCCCAGUGUGCCGCCUCCUAAUCUUACCCCAUAAGAAACAGUGCUAGUGUUUAAAACAAAACAACAUCAAAAUACAGAGGCUUACUGAGUUC
rnacentral:lncRNA from 1 species